CAGUCCGCGCGCCCGUGCCCAGCUUUCAAGCAGCGAGGAGAGCAGUGGGCGGAGAUUGCCCUGCGCUUCCACACCUUGCCGGCAGAGGACAGGCGAACACAGCAGCGGGAGCGGCGGCCGCGGGAAGCCGGCCCAGGGAGGAGCUGGCCUUGCAGCCUGGGCAAAAUCAGGUCCCUUGGCCUGGCCGACGGCGUCCGGGUGCAGCUCCGUGGCUCUGGGUGGUCGCUGACUUCCGGCCCAGGGGCUUAGGGCCCGCAGUGACCAGGCAAGAUGAGGCUGCAGGCAGGACGCCCAGCUCGGUCGCCCAGGGAACUGCAGCAAAUGCGAGACUCCCAGAGCUGGGGUGCAGGUAGCAUCAGCUGAGGGUGAGAUGCCCCUUCAGUCUCGGUUUGUUUUUUUGUACCAGGGACCUCACAUUUACCAGGCAAGCACAUGAGCCACUGAGCUAAAUCCCUGGCACCUUCUUUUUUUCUUUCUUGGGACAGGGUCUCGGUAUGUAGUUAGUUCAGCCUAACCUUGAACUCACUGUGUAGGCCACGCUGGCUUUGAACUCAAGGCACUCCUCCUGCCUCAGCCUCCUGAGUGUUGCUGAGAUGACAGAUGUGCGUCACCACACCUGGCUGUCAGCCUUGCCCCUGGCAGUGAUCCCAAAGGAUCUGGGUCUAAUCUAGCAAAGGUGAGGGAAAUGGGCAAGGGCAUCCUCUUUCGUUUAUUCCUGAACUCAGCAAACACAGCCCCAUCCCCUCCUUUGCUGAGCCCUGCUAAAUGUACACAUUAUGGCUUUUGGGGGGUUCCCACCGAAGAUAGAGGCCCUCAGAGGGCUCAAGGCAUGGGAGGCUGUGGGAAGCGGGAGCGGGCAGCUUUGACCAAGAAGCUGAUGUCUGGAUCCCCCACCUUGCCUGAAGUCAAAGGUGGAGGAGCUGAGGAGCAGGUGACAACCCAGAGUCACACAGCCACAGCCCAGGACUCCUAAGCUCUGACUCCCCCACAAGCUGCCUUGGGGCCUAGGGCUCUGGGAGGGCCCGGAAGUGGGAUGUGUCAUCAGGUGGCUUCUCUAUCCCCAGCUCUGCUGGCACAGCUGCCACCUGCAGGGCCUUGCCCACUGCUGACCUAGAUUUCUCAGCCACACCGUCAACACCUCCAAGGCAGGGCACAGCAUGGCUCUUUGGAGCCCAAACAGCCCUGCACAGUGACCCAGCUUCCACCUCGGGGCAGGGUGGGGCCAGAGCCCAGUGCUGUACUGGCUACCUGGUGCCAAGAGGCCAUCCUGGGGAUCCAGUGUGGUUCCUGUGUCCCCUUUCAGUGCUGGGAAGGGCAGACCCAAGGACGGUGCUCAGGACCCCUGUGAAGCAGCUCCCCAAGACCCCUGCACGAGGGGUGCACUGUGUGUGAGGUCCAUUGCUUCUGACUCUUGCAGGUUGCUACUCAGGACUCAGAGCAAUAGGGGUUCCUGGGGCUCCCUGUCCAGUCUCAGGGUCCUUCUCUCCUGUUUUCCUGGGCUAACUGGACCUCCUUGUCCUUCCAGUGUAUCCAGGCCAGCUGAUCAUGCAGCCACGCAUCCCAGAGAGCUCUUGGCGACAUGCAGCAGCCCGUACCCAUCUGACACCCACUCCAGGUGGGACUUGGGGCUGAGCCAGGGCACCAAGGGACAGCGGUUCAGACAGCUGGGUGUUCCCCACUAAGAACAAGAUGGGGCCUGGAGAGUGCAGGGUGCUGGCCAUCAGGGGAAGGACUCUCUGUCCCCAAGAUGCUGCUGCUGGUUCCCCCUAGCCAGGGGACUUAGGCACACGUCUCUCUGAGGUCCUUUGAAGCCAGGAAAUGAUGUGGCCUUAAUUUCUCAUGGAGGAAGGAGCGUUUACACCAGGUAUGGUGAUGCACAGCUGUGCCGUCAGUGUAGACACCCAGCCGGAAGUCCUGGGCACACACCUGGCUGUAAGAGUGGGCUGACCCAGGCCCAGGGCUCAUACAGUACCUGGCAGGGACAGCUGACUUGUGCUGGACCCAGGCAGCCACUCCGACACCCACACACUCAGUGUCCAGCUGUGAAAACCCUGGGAAUCAGGUUACUAGGCCACCUUCUGAACUUCCAGAGGAAAUGUGAUGGUCACCCGAGGGCCAGGCUAGAGACAUCAUCUCCCUGCACUACACUUCCUCAUCCUAACUGCACCCCAAGCUGCAGAAUCAGAGCAACCUUGGUCCCUAGGGUCUGGUCUGGAGGGGGGUACUGUGAAGCAGCUCCCCGAGACCCCUGCAAUUGCCUUCUAGGCUAAGGGACAGGCUCCUUACGGAAUUGGGAUAGAGAAGAGCAGGACAAGGGGGCCAGUAGCGGGGUCCCCACUGCUGGAGAGACAAAAAGUUGCAUGUGUUGGCCAGAUCUUGGGAUACUCACCCCAACACCCCAAAAUGGCCUCAGCUGGCCAUACCCCACCCUCUGAGCUCAGCCCCCAGUGUGCCCCAAGUUCUUAUGUUGAACCCUAAUCCUUGAUCCGAUCAUGUUAAACCAUAAUCCUUGAUGCAAUGAAGGUGAGGUCUUUAGAACCAAGAAGAGAGGCCACAGCUGACACCAAAAGUGUUGCCACCUUGACCCGCCUGCACUCCAAGAAAAAGCUGCUAAUGUUUACGGACACCCCAUUUAUGGUAUCUCGUUAAAGCAGCCUAAACAGAUGAAGACUAAGCAGACCAAGCCUGCCUGUCAUCCUAGCACUUGGGAGGCUGAGGCAAGAGAAUCACUGUGAAUUUGAACCCAGCCUGGGAUACAAUAGUGAAUUAAACCAGGCAUGGUGGGGCCUGUAAUCCCAGCACUUGGGAGUCUGAGGCCAGCCUGGGCUACACACUGAGUUGAAGGCCAGCCUACACUACACAGCAAGACCCUCUCUCAAAAAUAAAUAAAGACAAAAUGGGAUGGACCACUGUCUUAGCGCACCUAUGGUCCUCUAACCAGAUACCUGACCCUGUGCAAGUGAUAAAAGGGUAGAGGUGGCUUGAUUCCUAAGGCUGGGAGCCCGAGAUUGAGGUGUCCACCUCUGGUGAGGGCUUCCAGCUCCACUGUCCCGUGUGCGAGGGCAGCAGAAUGUGCAAGUGCAAGAGAAAGGGGCCGAACUUGUCCGUUAUCAGCAGCCAGUUCUGCAAGGAAGCCCCCCCACCCCCCAGUGCUAGCAUCGAUCCCUCUUAAGGGCGGAACCCCAGCUCCAAUCACUUCUUCAACCCUCGGUACCCUCACGUAGGAAAUUCAGUUCCCAGCACAGGGAUUUGGGGUUCACCUGCCAACUCCAGCAGCCCUGUUGGGAUUCAAAUGGGGCCCCUCUGAAUUUGGGGGGGAGGGUGCUGCUUGGGUGCUGUUAAGAGGGAGCCCUUUAAAGGGAAUCAGGCUAAGAGGCCUCCUCUGUUACUGAUGGGAUGAAGGCCUGUAUAGAAGAAUGUGAUGGUGCACCCCCGUGAUCCCAGCUCUCUGGAAGGCUGAAGCAGGAGGAUUGCAAGUUCCAGCCUCGCCUGGGCGAUUUAGUGAUUCAACAAGAAUCUGUGUCAAAGAAAGAAAAGGAAAAGGGCUGGGGCUGUAGCUGAGUGCAAAGACUCCACAUUCAAUCUCUAUUACAGAAAAAAAAUGUUUGAAAAGAGGCUUCUUUAUUGCCUGACUGGCUCACCUUCUACCUCCAGCCAUGUGGACAUACAGCUUUCUGCAUCGGACAGAUAGACAGGCCUGCUGGGGUCCUGCUCUUGAUCUUGGGCCUUAGGGUCGCCAAGUCUGGGGUCGACUUCCAUGGACCUGGGACAAGUGCACCCUGUGCUGCUUGGCAACUGGCAGAUCCAUACAGAGCCUCCCUGAUGCCCCCCUCGGCUUGGAGCUCCCCAAGGAAGUGCCAGGUGACAGACACAUCCGCUGGGAAGUGGGUGACAUCUUGAGCCCUUGGGCAUGGGUCCCUGCUGUCUUCCUGGCCUCUCCUCUACCUAGGGUCCCCGUGGGCCCCGGUCACAGAUGCCCUUCUGGUGCCCACCUUGUCUUCCCUGACUAGCCUCAGCUCUGUAGAUGUGUUGGGGUUCUUUAAGGGCCACACCCCUGUGCCCUGCUGCUCUAUAACCUCUGACCCCAGUGCCCCAGGGCUUCCAGGGACUACGGGACUAGGUGAAGUGGCACAGUCUACAGUCCCAGGUGGUAGGUCUCCCAGACACCAAGCCCUCCCAGGCAGAGCCCAGGGGCAUCUCUACUUCCAGGCUGUGUGGCAUCGAGCAAGUUACUCAACCUCUCUGGAAGAGAAAACAAGCAAUACCUGCCUGGUGAUUACAAGGAGGAUCGCAUUGUCCUGGGCCAGCAUUGCACAAGGGAGCUCAGAACUGCGACUGAUGUCCCCUCCCCUGAGACGAGGGGGAACUGAAACCCGAGGCGAGGGACCCACCCAUCCACCUAACGCGGAGUCACCCUGGUCGCCUCCCUCCUCCUGAAAAUCCUGGGGGGCAGCGGGGGGUGGGGGCACUCACAGUCCUGGUUCAGCGCCUGGCUAGGGAGCAAAAACAGAGGGCCCAGCUGGCCUUCCCUCGGCAGAGGAGGCGUCUCGGUGGGUGUGACAUUCCUGAGUCUCGGGCGCGAUUCAAUCCCUUGAAGGGCGGCCACCAAGCAGGCUCCCCGUCCGCAACAGGAGUCUCGGCUUCGCCCACCUAAAGGAGGUGGAUGCCUGGAAGUGGUCGCCGGAAGACCGAGGCGAUGGGCGUGGCUUGGUGUGGGCGUGGCAGGUGGGCGGCAUCUGCUCUGCUGCACAUGCGCAGAACAGACACCUUACCCGCACACCUACAGCGCCUUCCUACAGCCUGGUUCUCCAUCCUUCGUUUAAGGCUCUGGGAUGCCUCUUGCUCCGGUUGUUGGCUCUCCGUGCUCGAGCUUGUUAGGGUAGAGGUGACGCCACGUGGUGACUGACACAUCUGCUGGUGACAGAGUAGGUGCCAGUGAGUGCUGGCACCAGGAGCGGUGGAGGGAUAGGGCAAUGGGCCGCCUCCCUAUUUAUUUAACAUUAAUACUUUCACUGGAGAUGUCCAUAAUGUGGGCUGCAAAACACUCUCUGUAAAGAAAAAAAAAAAGCCACUUACACGACCAUUGAAAUAACCUCUUCUGGGCAUGGUACUGCACGCCCGUAAUUCCAGCACUUGGAAGGCUGAGGCAGGAGGAUCACUGCGUGUUCAAGGCCAGCCUGGGUUACAGAGUGAGUUCAAGGCCAGCCGGAACUGCAUUAGUGAGACCUUGUCUCAGACAAAAAUAAAAUGAAGCUGCUUUCAAAAGCCA